GACGUAGGAUGCAAGCGUUGUUCGGAUUUAUUGGGCGUAAAGCGUACGUAGGCGGCUAUCUAAGUCUGGUGUUAAAGCUAGGGGCUCAACCCCUGUGAUGCACUGGAAACUGGGUAGCUUGAGUGCGGUAGGGGAAGGUGGAAUUCCGAGUGUAGCGGUGAAAUGCGUAGAUAUUCGGAAGAACACCGGUGGCGAAGGCGACCUUCUGGGCCGUUACUGACGCUGAGGUGCGAAAGCGUGGGGAGCAAACAGG
rnacentral:rRNA from 1 species